ACAAGCACAAGCUGAUGCUAAGGAGCGAACUGCUGAGAUGAUGGAAUUGCAGAGUCGACUGUCUGCUCAGAAGGUAGAAGCUAAUCGACUUGCAUAUGAGGCAGCAAAGGAGAGGACAGUGGCCAAGUUAGCAGAGGAAAGAACAAAGUUGUUUGACAAGUUCACAGAUAUGUUGAAUGCUGACACAACAAGAAUGGAGCCAUGGGCAAAGGAGAUGCAUAUGAAGGCUGUUACAAGAUUGGGGGAUCAACUUUUCAGGGAGGAAUAGAAGAUGUUCUACAUAUAUGUCAAAAAAAGCGGAUUUCAUGUGCCAGGAAGCGUAGAAGAUGUGAGAUUUUUUUUUUUUGGAAUGAGAAGAAUCAAAGGAUACAACAAAAAAUUCAGUCUGAAAUUUGAUUUGUGUGUUUACAAAUCUUUCCUUUAUGGGUAUUUGAAACCUUAAGAUUAUUCUGUUACUAUG